UACGUAAGUCCCGAGCGUUGUCCGGAUUUAUUGGGCGUAAAGCGAGCGCAGGUGGUUUAUUAAGUCUGGUGUAAAAGGCAGUGGCUCAACCAUUGUAUGCAUUGGAAACUGGUAGACUUGAGUGCAGGAGAGGAGAGUGGAAUUCCAUGUGUAGCGGUGAAAUGCGUAGAUAUAUGGAGGAACACCGGUGGCGAAAGCGGCUCUCUGGCCUGUAACUGACACUGAGGCUCGAAAGCGUAGGGAGCAAACAGG
rnacentral:rRNA from 1 species